UACGUAGGGUGCGAGCGUUGUCCGGAAUUAUUGGGCGUAAAGAGCUUGUAGGCGGUCUGUCGCGUCUGCUGUGAAAAUCCGGGGCUCAACCCCGGACUUGCAGUGGGUACGGGCAGACUAGAGUGUGGUAGGGGAGACUGGAAUUCCUGGUGUAGCGGUGAAAUGCGCAGAUAUCAGGAGGAACACCGAUGGCGAAGGCAGGUCUCUGGGCCACUACUGACGCUGAGAAGCGAAAGUGUGGGGAGCGAACAGG
rnacentral:rRNA from 1 species